rnacentral:rRNA from 1 species
UGGGGGAAUAUUGGGCAAUGGGCGAAAGCCUGACCCAGCGACGCCGCGUGAGGGAAGAAGGUCUUCGGAUUGUAAACCUUAAAUAACAGGGACGAAAGAAAUGACGGUACCUGUUGGGAAGCCACGGCUAACUACGUGCCAGCAGCCGCGGUAAUACGUAGGUGGCAAGCGUUAUCCGGAUUUAUUGGGUUUAAAGGGUGCGUAGGCUGUUUGACAAGUCAGUGGUGAAAGCCCGGGGCUUAACUCCGGAACUGCCGUUGAUACUGUUGAGCUGGAAUACGGAUGCCGUGGGAGGAAUGAGUAGUGUAGCGGUGAAAUGCAUAGAUAUUACUCAGAACACCGAUUGCGAAGGCAUCUCACGAAUCCGUCAUUGACGCUGAGGCACGAAAGCGUGGGGAUCAAACAGGAUUAGAUACCCUGGUAGU